AUUUGGAGUAGUGCUUGGAACAAAUUAUCAUAUUUGGUAUAAUACACUUGUGCUGUAGCUAAGCUAAAAUGGAAAGUAGCCAACCGGUGCUCCACUACAUCAAAACCAUCCUCAACCAUUUGGAGCUCAGCUUAGAGCUUCAAACAUCAAGGCUUUCCAUAGAUAAGUCCCAGUUCUUAUCUUCAAUACAGAUGAAUUAUCAUGAUUUAUAAGUUAUCUUUUCUUGAAAACGCAGUUGAUGAGAAUUUUGGUACUUCUUAAUAAAUCUUACAUUUGCUGGAACCUUUUUUAUUGUUCACAUCCAGCAUUAAAUAUUAAUAUGGACAAUAGUAUUGGUAGAUAAUUAAUGGAUUCAGUUUUUAUGAAUUCAAUUCAUGUACAAAGUGGAGUUUUUUUUUAUAUAUCUCAAAUUUAUUGAAGUAGGUCGCAACAAUUUUGAAUCCAACUAAAACGGGAACAUUUCUAUGACAACAUCAACAAUUCCGAGAAACUUCGCUCAUAAUCGAAUAAAUACAAGCAACCGAUUUUCUUGGGGAUCUCUUAUUUGAACCUUCUUAAGUCACCUACUCAAAAGAAAAAUUUCAGCUUAUGGAUACUCUGUCUAACUGAAAUAAGAAGGUACAAAGAUUAGCUAGUUUUGAUUGAUUCCCGAGCUUGAGUAAUUAUUGUCCAAUUGUCCAAUCCCUGAUAUUACAAAAGAGGGUUAACCACAGAAAAGAGUUUAUUUCCGAAAUCAAAAGACUCCGGAGAAAGAUUUUCUGGCGUCGAGGAUGCAAAAAGUGGACAGUCUCGCAAACACACUAUGUGCUAUAACAAUAGCUUGUGCUAUGAACGAUCAGAACUCAGGGGUAAACGGAGGCGACGUAACCUUUUCGUGGCGCCGUAUAUUUUCACUAGGAAGAAAUCAAUACAAACCAGGUAAGGAUAGCUUGAGUUAGUUUGGGUUAGAUUGGGUUGAGAAGAGAAGAAAAUGAACAUGUAAAAUGCUUCAUUAUUUAUUUUACAGUAUUAAAUUAUUAUUGAUUGAUAACAUAAUUCUAGUAGAUUCUAUGAUAAUGUACUAAAGGAGGACGCUCAUCGUCAUCGUCUCUACGGUGACGGUCAUCGUCUUCAUCAUCAUCGUCUCUACGGUGACGAUCAUCGUCAUUAUCAUCAUCGUCUCUACGGUGACGGUCAUCAUCAUCGUCAUCAUCUCUACGGUCAGUUAGUCCACGGCGACGCUCAUCGUUAUCAGCACCGUCCCAAUGGUAUUGGUCAUCGUCACCAUCAUCAUCAUCAUCUCUACGGUGACGGUCAUCGUCAUCAUCAUCGUCCCAACGGUGUCGGUCAUCGUCUUCAUCAUCAUCGUCUCUACGGUGACGGUCAUCGUCAUCAUCAUCAUCUCUACGGUCAGUUAGUACACGGUGGCGGUCAUCGUCAUCAUCAUCAUCGUCUCUACGGUGACGGUCAUCGUCAUCCUCAUCGUCGUCUCUACGGUGACGGUCAUCGUCCUCAUCAUCAUCAUCUCUACGGUGACGGUCAUCGUCAUCAUCGUCAUCAUCUCUACGGUCGGUUAGUCCACGGUGACGGUCAUCGUCAUCAUCAUCGUCUCUACGGUGACGGUCAUCGUCAUCAUCAUCUCUACGGUCAGUUAGGUUACGAUCAUCUCCUCUAUCGUGGCGACGGUCAUCAUCAUCGUCUCUACCGUGACGGUCAUCGUCGUCAUCAUCUCUACGGUCAGUUAGUGCACGGUGACGGUCAUCGUCUUCAUCAUCGUCCCAACGGUGUCGGUCAUCGUCUUCAUCAUCAUCGUCUCUACGGUGACGGUCAUCGUCAUCAUCAUCAUCUCUACGGUCAGUUAGUACACGGUGGCGGUCAUCGUCAUCAUCAUCAUCGUCUCUACGGUGACGGUCAUCGUCAUCAUCAUCAUCGUCCCUACGGUGACGGUCAUCAUCAUCAUCAUCGUCUCCACGGUGGCGAUCAUCGUCAUCAUCAUCUCUACGGUCAUUUAGUCCACGGUGACGGUCAUCAUCAUCAUCAUCAUCAUCAUCAUCGUCUCUACGGUGACGGUCAUCGUCAUCAUCAUCAUCGUCUCUACGGUGACGGUCAUCGUCAUCAUCAUCAUCGUCUCUACGGUGACGGUCAUCGUCGUCAUCAUCUCUACGGUCAGUUAGGUUACGAUCAUCUCCUCUAUCGUGGCGACGGUCAUCAUCAUCGUCUCUACCGUGACGGUCAUCGUCGUCAUCAUCUCUACGGUCAGUUAGUACACGGUGGCGGUCAUCAUCAUCAUCAUCAUCUCUACGGUGACGGUCAUCGUCAUCAUCAUCAUCGUCUCUACGGUGGCGAUCGUCAUCAUCAUCGUCUCUACCAUGGCGGUCAUCAUCGUCGUCAUCAUCUCUACGGUCAGUUAGUCCACGGUGAAGGUCAUCGUCAUCAUCAUCGUCCCAACGGUCUCGGUCAUCGUCUUCAUCAUCAUCGUCUCUACGGUGACGAUCAUCGUCAUUAUCAUCAUCGUCUCUACGGUGACGGUCAUCAUCAUCGUCAUCAUCUCUACGGUCAGUUAGUCCACGGCGACGCUCAUUGUUAUCAGGACCAUCCCAAUGGUAUUGGUCAUCGUCACCAUCAUCAUCGUCUCUACGGUGUCUAUCGUCAUCAUCAUCAUCAUCAUCUCUACGGUCAGUUAGUACCCGGUGGCGGUCAUCGUCAUCAUCAUCAUCGUCUCUACGGUGACGGUCAUCGUCAUCAUCAUCUCUACCGUGGCGAUCGUCAUCAUCAUCGUCUCUACCGUGACGGUCAUCGUCGUCGUCAUCUCUACGGUCACUUAAUGUGUGGUGACGAUCGUCAUCACCAUCAUCGUCCCUACCAUGGCGAUCGUCAUCGUCAUCCCAAUGAUCUCUGUUCAA